rnacentral:rRNA from 1 species
GAUGCAGCAACGCCGCGUGAGGGACGACGGCUUUCGGGUUGUAAACCUCUUUUAGCAGGGAAGAAGCGAAAGUGACGGUACCUGCAGAAAAAGCACCGGCUAACUACGUGCCAGCAGCCGCGGUAAUACGUAGGGUGCAAGCGUUGUCCGGAAUUAUUGGGCGUAAAGAGCUCGUAGGCGGUUUGUCGCGUCUGCUGUGAAAACUGGAGGCUCAACCUCCAGCCUGCAGUGGGUACGGGCAGACUAGAGUGCGGUAGGGGAGAUUGGAAUUCCUGGUGUAGCGGUGGAAUGCGCAGAUAUCAGGAGGAACACCGAUGGCGAAGGCAGAUCUCUGGGCCGUAACUGACGCUGAGGAGCGAAAGGGUGGGGAGCAAACAGGCUUAGAUACCCUGGUAGUCCACCCCGUAAACGUUGGGAACUAGAUGUGGGGACCAUUCCACGGUCUCCGUGUCGCAGCUAACGCAUUAAGUUCCCCGCCUGGGGAGUACGGCCGCAAGGCUAAAACUCAAAGGAAUUGACGGGGGCCCGCACAAGCGGCGGAGCAUGCGGAUUAAUUCGAUGCAACGCGAAGAACCUUACCAAGGCUUGACAUGUACGAGAACGCGUGAGAGAUCACGUUCUCUUUGGACACUCGUAUACUAGGUGGUGCAUGGUGUCGUCAGCUCGUGUCGGAGAU